rnacentral:rRNA from 1 species
UGAGGGAUAUUGCACAAUGGGGGAAACCCUGAUGCAGCGACGCCGCGUGGGUGAAGAAGGUCUUCGGAUCGUAAAGCCCUUUUCUGCAUGACGAGAAAGGACGGUAGUGCAGGAAUAAGCCUCGGCUAACUACGUGCCAGCAGCCGCGGUAAAACGUAGGAGGCGAGCGUUAUCCGGAGUUACUGGGCGUAAAGCGUGCGUAGGCGGUUUCGUAAGUGGGACGUGAAAGCUCCCGGCUAAACUGGGAGAGGACGACUCAGACUGCGAAACUAGAGGGCGAUAGAGGAGCGCGGAAUUCGGGGUGUAGCGGUGAAAUGUGUAGAGAUCCCGAGGAACACCAGUGGUGCAAACGGCGCUCUGGGUUGCUACUGACGCUGAGGCACGAAAGCUUGGGGAGCGA